rnacentral:piRNA from 1 species
UGAGUUCUGGAUCUGGAGCGUAUGUGGC